CACGUAGUUAGCCGUGGCUUCCUCCUCCCUUACCGUCAUUAUCGUCAGGGAAGACAGAGCUUUACAACCCGAAGGCCUUCAUCGCUCACGCGGCGUCGCUGCGUCAGGGUUUCCCCCAUUGCGCAAUAUUCCCCACUGCUGCCUCCCGUAGGAGUCUGGGCCGUGUCUCAGUCCCAGUGUGGCCGACCACCCUCUCAGGCCGGCUACCCAUCGUCGCCUUGGUGAGCCAUUACCUCACCAACUAGCUAAUGGGCCGCGGGCCCAUCCUUGAGCGGAAUUAACCUUUGGCUAAGACGCCAUGCGGCAUCUUAGCGUUAUGCGGUAUUAGCAGGCCUUUCGACCUGUUAUCCCCCGUCUCAAGGGCAGGUUACCCACGUGUUACUCACCCGUCGCCGCUAAGGUUCAAGAGUAAACUUCUCUCCCUCCGCUCGACUUGCAUGUGUUAGGCACGCCGCCAGCGUCGUCCUGUAGCCAGGACGUCAAACUC
rnacentral:rRNA from 1 species